GUGAGGAUAACAAGCAGUUAGCAGCCUCUUGUUCCAUGUCCCUGUGCGAAAGUAUGGCAAGAAAACAAAUCGAGUGCGGUAUAUAAUUAAUCUCCCACCAAUCUCAUCUUUUUGUUAGCGCUGAAAUGUGUCUCAGUGAGCACAAAUUUAGUGUGAUGUUAUAGUGCCGUGUGGAUAUGAGGGCGUGAGGUGGGCGUGUGUCAGCCAAAGGAAGGGCAGCACAUUCGAAGACAGCCGAGGUGAUCCCACACCAGCUGAACAAAUCCUCGGCCUUUUGUCUUGUGGCGGCGGGCGAGUGAGGUUCCUUGUGUGUGCGUGCAUGGCGUCGCGGUUAGUGUAGUGAUACUGUGAUGGUGUGCGUUAGUUUAUCCUAUUGAAUGCGUCUUCCUCGCGUUGGAUUUGAUGCAUGUCGUGUCGCCACUCCCCUGCAUGCAAGACAACGCCACCACAGCUUCUGCCACUAAAUCAAAACCAAGCUGCAUUUUUACUCCAUCAUUCUUCACUCAGUACCCAGUGAUAUUUCUCAGUAAAAGUGAAGGAGUGGCGGUGAUUUAAUGCAGGAUGCGAAUGGACUUCCCUGUCACUUGUAGGAACUCGUCAUCUUGAAGGUCCCUCAACGCAUCCUCGUACAUCUCUCUUGUGAUCAUCUGUGGAGAGAAACGCCUUCUGGCCAUUGAGGGUGAGCACCUUGCCCUUGGACUGGAUCACCUUGCGUAGCAGCUGUGCCAUCUCCGUCCUCUUCUUGCGCGCCACUGAGCUCAGGCCAGUGAUGAGGAUGCUGACGUCAAUCUUGCCGGACAGCGGAUCAGUGGCCGACUGUUUGAGAGCCUCACGGUGGAGUCUGGGGUGGAGGAGGUAGUCUUUUAAUGGUUAGGUUAGUGUACUAACUACUUACUGUUACCCAAUAAUAAAUAAUGAAUGCUCAUGUACUGCAAAUAUACACAAAUUCAUAAAUUAGUCAAGGCAGCAAUCUCCAGCACUACAAAAUCCAUUCUUUGAAUGUUUUUAAAAAAGCAAAUAAAAAAAAAUAUUCAGAAUA